rnacentral:rRNA from 1 species
CGGGUUGUGAGAGCAAGGGCCCGGAGAUGGAACCUGAGACAAGGUUCCAGACCCUACGGGGUGCAGCAGGCGCGAAACCUCCGCAAUGUACGAAAGUGCGACGGGGGGAUCCCAAGUGUUAUGCUUUUUUGUAUGACUUUUCAUUAGUGUAAAAAGCUUUUAGAAUAAGAGCUGGGCAAGACCGGUGCCAGCCGCCGCGGUAACACCGGCAGCUCGAGUGGUAGCUGUUUUUAUUGGGCCUAAAGCGUUCGUAGCCGGUUUGAUAAGUCUUUGGUGAAAGCUUGUAGCUUAACUAUAAGAAUUGCUGGAGAUACUAUUAGACUUGAAGUCGGGAGAGGUUAGAGGUACUACCGGGGUAGGGGUGAAAUCCUAUAAUCCUGGGAGGACCACCUGUGGCGAAGGCGUCUAACUGGAACGAUCUUGACGGUGAGUAACGAAAGCCAGGGGCGCGAACCGGAUUAGAUACCCGGGUAGUCCUGGCCGUAAACGAUGUGGACUUGGUGUUGGAAUGGCUUUGAGUUGUUCCGGUGCCGAAGGGAAGCUGUUAAGUCCACCGCCUGGGAAGUACGGUCGCAAGACUGAAACUUAA